rnacentral:rRNA from 1 species
UCGAGAAUCUUCGGCAAUGGGCGAAAGCCUGACCGAGCGACGCCGCGUGAGGGAAGAAGGCCUUCGGGUUGUAAACCUCUUUCGUAGAGGAGGAAGGGGCCGUGCAGAGCGGUCUUUGACCUAUUCUAGGAAGAAGCUUGGGCUAAGUUCGUGCCAGCAGCCGCGGUAAGACGAACCAAGCGAACGUUAUUCGGAAUUACUGGGCUUAAAGCGCGUGUAGGCGGAUGACCACGUCAGUCGUUGAAAUCCCCCGGCUCAACCGGGGAACAGGCGCUGAUACGAGUUGUCUGGAGGUGGGUAGGGGAGACUGGAACUUCCGGUGGAGCGGUGAAAUGCGUUGAGAUCGGAAGGAACGCCCGCGGCGAAAGCGAGUCUCUGGACCCAUUCUGACGCUGAGACGCGAAAGCCAGGGGAGCAAACGGG